UGGCUCAGGAUGAACGCUAGCUACAGGCUUAACACAUGCAAGUCGAGGGGCAUCAGGAAGAAAGCUUGCUUUCUUUGCUGGCGACCAGCGCACGGGUGAGUAACACGUAUCCAACCUGCCCUUUACUCGGGGAUAGCCUUUCGAAAGAAAGAUUAAUACCCGAUAGCAUAAUGAUUCCGCAUGGUUUCAUUAUUAAAGGAUUCCGGUAAAGGAUGGGGAUGCGUUCCAUUAGGUUGUUGGUGAGGUAACGGCCCACCAAGCCUUCGAUGGAUAGGGGUUCUGAGAGGAAGGUCCCCCACAUUGGAACUGAGACACGGUCCAAACUCCUACGGGAGGCAGCAGUGAGGAAUAUUGGUCAAUGGGCGCUAGCCUGAACCAGCCAAGUAGCGUGAAGGAUGAAGGCUCUAUGGGUCGUAAACUUCUUUUAUAUAAGAAUAAAGUGCAGUAUGUAUACUGUUUUGUAUGUAUUAUAUGAAUAAGGAUCGGCUAACUCCGUGCCAGCAGCCGCGGUAAUACGGAGGAUCCGAGCGUUAUCCGGAUUUAUUGGGUUUAAAGGGAGCGUAGGUGGACUGGUAAGUCAGUUGUGAAAGUUUGCGGCUCAACCGUAAAAUUGCAGUUGAUACUGUCAGUCUUGAGUACAGUAGAGGUGGGCGGAAUUCGUGGUGUAGCGGUGAAAUGCUUAGAUAUCACGAAGAACUCCGAUUGCGAAGGCAGCUCACUGGACUGCAACUGACACUGAUGCUCGAAAGUGUGGGUAUCAAACAGGAUUAGAUACCCUGGUAGUCCACACAGUAAACGAUGAAUACUCGCUGUUUGCGAUAUACAGUAAGCGGCCAAGCGAAAGCAUUAAGUAUUCCACCUGGGGAGUACGCCGGCAACGGUGAAACUCAAAGGAAUUGACGGGGGCCCGCACAAGCGGAGGAACAUGUGGUUUAAUUCGAUGAUACGCGAGGAACCUUACCCGGGCUUAAAUUGCAGUGGAAUGAUGUGGAAACAUGUCAGUGAGCAAUCACCGCUGUGAAGGUGCUGCAUGGUUGUCGUCAGCUCGUGCCAUGAGGUGUCGGCUUAAGUGCCAUAACGAGCGCAACCCUUAUCUUUAGUUACUAACAGGUUAUGCUGAGGACUCUAGAGAGACCGCCGUCGUAAGAUGUGAGGAAGGUGGGGAUGACGUCAAAUCAGCACGGCCCUUACGUCCGGGGCUACACACGUGUUACAAUGGGGGGUACAGAAGGCAGCUAGCGGGUGACCGUAUGCUAAUCCCAAAAUCCUCUCUCAGUUCGGAUCGUAGUCUGCAACUCGACUACAUGAAGCUGGAAUCGCUAGUAAUCGCAGAUCAGAAUGCUGCGGUGAAUACGUUCCCGGGUCUUGUACACACCGCCCGUCAAGCCAUGGGAGCCGGGGGUACCUGAAGUACGUAACCGCAAGGAUCGUCCUAGGGUAAAACUGG
rnacentral:rRNA from 1 species